rnacentral:snRNA from 1 species
UUUCAUAUGCUGCGGCAGUAUUGUAGACAAUGAGGUUUAUCCAAGGUGCAAUUACUGCUACUUGAAAAGUAAGAUUAACAGUGGGAAUUUGUACGCUGUCUCACGAUUCACAUUUUACUAUUUUCAUAUCCAUUUAGUAUG